GACAGAGGGUGCAAACGUUGUUCGGAAUUACUGGGCGUAAAGCGUGUGUAGGCGGCUUUGCAAGUCGGAUGUGAAAUCCCCGGGCUCAACCCGGGAAGUGCACCCGAAACUGCAGGGCUCGAGUACCGGAGAGGUUGGUGGAAUUCUCGGUGUAGAGGUGAAAUUCGUAGAUAUCGAGAGGAACACCGGUGGCGAAAGGCGGCCAACUGGACGAGUACUGACGCUGAGACACGAAAGCGUGGGGAGCAAACAGG
rnacentral:rRNA from 1 species